rnacentral:tRNA from 1 species
UGCCUUAUAUUCACGGGUUGAUAAUAGAAUGCAAGUCUAUAGGGAUGGUAUAAACUUAUCAUUAAGGCCU